GAAUUAAAAUUAUUUUUAAAAAUAAACUGAAUGUGUUCUCUGCUAUUUUCACCCAAAACAUCCAUCCAGUGACCAUUUACUCAUCUUUCAAGACUCAGAAGCCAGCUCUGGUACCAAGCCUUUUCUGAUCUCCCAGAUGAAUAACCAACUCAAGGAGAUGAGGACAUUGGCCAAAGCCACACAACUAGUACAACCUACCAGUACUGGUCAAGACAUGGUUAAAAAGCAGCACCAGGUGGUCAAUUAAGUUUCAGUUAUCAUCGAGGAGGUGUUUACAAGCACAAGGUACUGGUACUAUUACUAUUACAAGAGUUUAUUGAAAAUGUACUACAGUAUGAACCAUCAUUUUAUUUAGCUUUUCCAAUAAGCCCAUGAGAUAGGUCAGUGGAUAUUUAACUUUAUUAGAAACUUUCCAUUUUCCAAAGUAUUUCAAGUAUUUUA
rnacentral:lncRNA from 13 species